GUGAACGCUGGCGGUAGGCCUAACACAUGCAAGUCGAACGGCAGCACAGUAAGAGCUUGCUCUUACGGGUGGCGAGUGGCGGACGGGUGAGGAAUACAUCGAAAUCUACUUUUUCGUGGGGGAUAACGUAGGGAAACUUACGCUAAUACCGCAUACGACCUACGGGUGAAAGCAGGGGAUCUUCGGACCUUGCGCGAUUGAAUGAGCCGAUGUCGGAUUAGCUAGUUGGCGGGGUAAAGGCCCACCAAGGCGACGAUCCGUAGCUGGUCUGAGAGGAUGAUCAGCCACACUGGAACUGAGACACGGUCCAGACUCCUACGGGAGGCAGCAGUGGGGAAUAUUGGACAAUGGGCGCAAGCCUGAUCCAGCCAUACCGCGUGGGUGAAGAAGGCCUUCGGGUUGUAAAGCCCUUUUGUUGGGAAAGAAAAGCAGCAGGUUAAUACCCCGCUGUUCUGACGGUACCCAAAGAAUAAGCACCGGCUAACUUCGUG
rnacentral:rRNA from 1 species